rnacentral:rRNA from 1 species
GUGGGGAAUUUUGGACAAUGGGCGAAAGCCUGAUCCAGCCAUGCCGCGUGCAGGAUGAAGGCCUUCGGGUUGUAAACUGCUUUUGUACGGAACGAAAAGACUUCUUCUAAUACAGGAGGUCCAUGACGGUACCGUAAGAAUAAGCACCGGCUAACUACGUGCCAGCAGCCGCGGUAAUACGUAGGGUGCAAGCGUUAAUCGGAAUUACUGGGCGUAAAGCGUGCGCAGGCGGUUAUAUAAGACAGAUGUGAAAUCCCCGGGCUCAACCUGGGAACUGCAUUUGUGACUGUAUAGCUAGAGUACGGUAGAGGGGGAUGGAAUUCCGCGUGUAGCAGUGAAAUGCGUAGAUAUGCGGAGGAACACCGAUGGCGAAGGCAAUCCCCUGGACCUGCACUGACGCUCAUGCACGAAAGCGUGGGGAGCAAACAGGAUUAGAUACCCGUGUAGUCC